rnacentral:rRNA from 1 species
CCCUUAGAUGUUCUGGGCUGCACGCGCGCUACACUGAAGCGUUCAACGAGUAUUCACCUUGCCCGGGAGGGUUGGGUAAUCUUUUGAAAACGCUUCGUGAUGGGGAUAGAUUAUUGCAAUUAUUAAUCUUCAACGAGGAAUUCCUAGUAAGCGCGAGUCAUCAGCUCGCGCUGAUUACGUCCCUGCCCUUUGUACACACCGCCCGUCGCUACUACCGAUUGGAUGGUUUAGCGAGAACUUUGGACCGGAGCUCGGGUGGUCAGCAAUGGCCGCCCGAGACAUACUGGGAAAUCGCUCCAGCUUGAUCAUCUAGAGGAAGUAAAAGUCGUAACA